rnacentral:tRNA from 1 species
AGCAGCGUGGUGUAACGGUAACACACUGGACUUUGACUCCGGUAUUCCAGGUUCGAAUCCUGACGCUGUUGCCA